rnacentral:rRNA from 1 species
AUUGAACGCUGGCGGCAGGCUUAACACAUGCAAGUCGAGCGGGGGAAGGUAGCUUGCUACCGGACCUAGCGGCGGACGGGUGAGUAAUGCUUAGGAAUCUGCCUAUUAGUGGGGGACAACAUCUCGAAAGGGAUGCUAAUACCGCAUACGUCCUACGGGAGAAAGCAGGGGAUCUUCGGACCUUGCGCUAAUAGAUGAGCCUAAGUCGGAUUAGCUAGUUGGUGGGGUAAAGGCCUACCAAGGCGACGAUCUGUAGCGGGUCUGAGAGGAUGGUCUGCCACACUGGGACUGAGACACGGCCCGGACUCCUACGGGAGGCAGCAGUGGGGAAUAUUGGACAAUGGGGGGAACCCUGAUCCAGCCAUGCCGCGUGUGUGAAGAAGGCCUUAUGGUUGUAAAGCACUUUAAGCGAGGAGGAGGCUACUUUAGUUAAUACCUAGAGAUAGUGGACGUUACUCGCAGAAUAAGCACCGGCUAACUCUGUGCCAGCCGCCGCCGUAA